AUGGAGGCGACGGUGCUGAGCGUGGGCAAGUCUGUGGUGAACGGAGCUGUUAGCUAUGCCCAAUCUGCCGUUGCAGAGGAGGUGGCGCUGCAGCUGGGAGUGCAGCGCGACCAGGCCUUCAUCAGGGACGAGCUUGAGAUGAUGCAGUCGUUCCUGAUGGUUGCUCACGACGACCGAGACGACAACAAGGUGGUCAAGACCUGGGUGAAGCAGGUCCGCGACCUGGGCUACGAUGUGGAGGACUGCCUCCAGGACUUCGCCGUUCGCCUCGAGAAGCCGUCCUAUUGGUGGCACAUCCUGAGGACGCUGCUUGACCGGCGUCAUGUGGCCGUGGAGAUGAAGGAUCUCCGAGCCAAGGUCGAGGAUGUCAGCAAGAGGAACCUGCGCUAUCACCUCAUCAGGGGCCCUGACGCUGACUCAAAGUCCAUGGCUGCUGCCGCCAAGCAGUACUCUGCAGUCAGCAAAGCCAGUGCUACAAUGUUUGGUGUCAACGAAGCGAGGCGUGCCAUGAAGCUGAGGGUAGAUCUGGCCCAACUCAUCGACCAGGAGCAGGGGGAGGAUCUUAGAGUGAUUUCAGUGUGGGGAACAUGUGGCGUUCUCGGGCAGGCAUCCAUGAUAAGGAAGGUGUAUGACGAUUCGGGCACGUUUGAAUGCCGUGCCUGGAUCAAGCUUAUGCAUCCUUUCGACCCGAUCGUGUUCAUGCAAAGCAUUAUGCGGCAGUUCUAUGGAUAUUCUUUUCCAGAAUUAGCAGCUGAGGGACGAAGUUGUCGAGAAUUAGGGACUAAAGUUCUCAAGAAGAUGCUGAUGAUGAAGGAAGAAGAAUUGAUUGAUGAGUUCAAUGAGCAUGUGAAUAACAAGAGUUAUCUGAUUGUUCUUAACGAUCUGUGUAGCAUAGAAGAUUGGGACUGGAUUAAAACUUACCUUCCAGGCAACCGUAAUGGGAACCGGAUCAUUGUGGCCACACAGCAAGUUGAAGUUGCAAGCUUAUGCAUCGGCCAGGAAUGCCGAGUCUCAGAGCUUAAGCAAUUAUCCUCUGAUCAGACUCUCUAUGUUUUCUACCACAAGAGACCUCAAGGUGGAGCAAAUUCAAUGGAGCCAGAGUCAAGCUCAAAUGCAGCAGCCAUUGCCACUACUAAUAGAGCAAUCUCUUCAGUGCCCAUCUGUGAGAUACCGGCUGGUGAUCAAGCUAAAGAUACCGCAAGUGGACAGAAUGCAGUCCGAAGGAGCCUCAGUCGCAUCCUGUCGAUGACGGCUGCUCUAGAGGGAUCUGAAGUUGUUGGGAGGGAGAAAGAAAAAUCUCGCAUCCUCCCACUAAUUGUGGAUUCAGUUAACAAAGAACUUCAGGUUAUCUCUGUUUGGGGAAUGGGUGGUCUCGGGAAGACUGCUCUUGUCAAAGAUAUCUAUGAAGGUCAAGAACUCAGUGGCACAUUUAAGAAACGUGCUUGCGUCACAAUCAUGAGGCCUUUCAAUAUCGAGGAGCUCCUUAGGAGUUUAAUUAUGCAACUAAUGGUGUCAGAAACUUCUGACGAGAAUGACACAGCGAAGAAAACAAUGUCGCUGUCAGUUCAAGAGCUGAAGGAUCAGCUGGGCCGUCUUCCUGAAGAAAAGAGGUGGUUGAUUGUUCUCGACGAUUUGUCAUCUACCACUGAAUGGGACACGAUAUUGGAAAAUUUACCUCAAACAAAGAAUGCAAGUCGAAUCAUAGUCACCACAAGAGAAGAAACUAUUGCCCGUCAUUGUUCACAGCAGAAACAAGAAAAUGUAUACAACCUCAAAGGUCUUACUAAGGAGCAUGCACUUCUUGUCUUCACAAAAAAGGUAUUCAAGGAAAAUGAAUGUUGGCAUCGGCUGUAUCCUGAGUUGGUUGAACAAGUCAGACAAAUCUUGAAGAAGUGCAAUGGUCUUCCUCUUGCAAUAGUCGCCAUAGGUGGCUUCUUGGCAAACCAACCAAAAACUGCCAAGGAGUGGAGAAAACUGAAUGAGAAUCUUAGUAGUGAGUUGGAGAUGAAUCCAGAGCUUGACACCAUAAGAACAGUCCUUCUCAGAAGCUAUGAUGGUUUACCCUAUCAUCUCAAGGCUUGUUUCUUGUAUCUUCCAAUCUUUCCUGAAGACUACAAGAUUAGGCUAACACGUUUGGUGCGGAGGUGGAUCGCAGAGGGCUACUCAGGAGCGGUGCGCGGCAGGUCUUCCUAUGAAAUAGCAGAGAGCUACUUCAUGGACCUCAUAAGCAGGAGCAUGAUCCUGCCAUCCCGGCAAUCACGUCAUAGUAGAAAAGAAAUUGAUUCUUGCCAACUCCAUGAUAUUAUUCGUGAAAUUGGCAUCUCAAAGUCAAUGGAGGAAAAUCUUGUUUUCAGAUUGGAGGAAGGUUGCAACUUAAGUAGCCAAGGCACAAUACGUCACCUCUCUGUAAGCAACGACUGGAAGGGAGACCAGAGUGAAUUUGAGAGUACAGUUGAUCUGUCUCGUGUCAGAUCCAUAACAAUUUUUGGGGAGUGGAAGCCAUUCUUCAUUUCUGACAAGAUGAAGUUGCUGCGGGUGCUGGACUUGGAAGACACUUCAGGUCUGGUUGAUCAUCAUCUCAAGCAUAUUGGGAAGCUUUUCCACUUGAGAUACCUUUCCCUGAGAGGAUGUCAUGGAAUUUAUCACCUGCCAGGUUCCUUGGGUAACCUGAGGCAGCUCCAGACACUAGAUGUCACAGGUACAAACAUAAUCAAGCUGCCAAAGACCAUCAUCAAGCUCAGGAAGCUACAGCACGUUCGUGCGAGGGGUGUCGGGAGCAACGAUGAAUAUGUCUGUGAAGAGUAUUCAGAUAAACUCCCGAAGCUGAUGAGGAGCAAGCAAUGCAUCCUGACCUGCGCCUCGGCGGUGUUCUGCGUGGCAUGCUGCGCGCCACAGGUUCUGAAGGAGACCAUGGGCAUGGACGGGGAUACCAACAGGCGUGACGUCUGCACCACGUGCUGCUGCUCGUAUCUGCCAAUGCUGGCGACACGCCGGAGCCCACGUGGUGUUGUGGUGCCCAGAGGGAUCCACAGGCUCAGAGCCCUGCACACGUUGGGUGUGGUGAACAUCUCAAGGAGGAAGGCCACCCUGCGAGAGGUAGCUAGUCUCACCGGGCUGCGCAAGUUGGGAGUGACUGGCGUGGACGAGAGCAACGGCGGAGAGCUAUGUUCAGCACUGGCUAACCUCAGCAGCCUAGAGACGCUGCUGGUGCAGUCGGAGGGUAAGCCGGGUUUAUCUGGCUGCUUGGAUGGCCUCUCCUCACCUCCGGAAAACCUAGGGAGUCUGAAGCUGUAUGGCAACCUGGUCGAAUUGCCGGCAUGGAUCAACGGUGGGCUGAAAAAUCUGGCCAAGCUCAAGCUGCGGAGUUCCAGGAUAGAGGACCAUGAUGCGGCAAUAAAAGUCCUUGGGCGCCUACCGAACCUUGCCAUCCUGCGUCUGCGGAAAGAGUCACUUGGGGGCGAAGAGGUCCAUCUCCGUUUUCGUCAGGGUGCAUCAUUCCCGAGCCUGAUGGUGCUAGAGCUGAGUCUCCCAGGUAAGCUCAAAUCGGUGGAGUUUGAAAAGGGAGCCACCCCUAAGCUUGAGCUGCUGCAGUAUUACGAUCAGCCUGAAGAAGGCGCCGUUUCAGAAAAAACCGAUGACAAUCAGUUUGAAGAAGACCCCAGAGUUGGGUUGUUUUCUGGGCUAGCAUUUCUGGGAAGCCUCAAGGAAGUUCUGCUCGAGGGUCACAACUACAAAGCCGACUUAGUGCAAAACUUGCGCUUGCAGCUUCAUUCAAAUCCGAAGCGACCUGUUCUCAAGAUGGACUGA
rnacentral:rRNA from 1 species